UGACACUGGAGAUGCGCGUCCACGAGAGGACUCCAUGUUUUUCUUUCAGUCUUUGAAUGAAUACAACGUUGUCUGGUUGGAAUAUUAUCGCUACUUUACGAGAAAAAUCGCAUAAAAAUUGAUUUUAAACAGCGUUUGACAUGCUUCGAAGUACGGUAAUGGAAUAUUUUGCAUUUUUUUGUCACGAAAUGCGCUCGCGCGUCACCCUUCGGAUUGUGACCUGAACGCACGAACAAAACGGAGCUAUUUCAAUAUAACUAUGGAUUAUUUGGAACCAAAACAACAUUUGUUGUUGAAGUAUAAGUCCUGGGAGUGCAUUCUGACGAAGAACAGCAAAGGUUCCGGAUCCUUUUCGGUUUCCUCCACAGAUUGUUCACUUUGGCUUAUGUCCAUAGUUUCAUCUCGGUUAUUCUCUGUUACAACUUCUACACUAUGAUCCACAGGUAAGUAUUGUACUUCAUUCCCUUCCAAGUUUCCA
rnacentral:lncRNA from 1 species